rnacentral:rRNA from 1 species
ACACAUGCAAGUCGAGCGGAGACAGUGAGUAGCUUGCUAUGAGCUGUUUUAGCGGCGGACGGGUGAGUAACGCGUGAGCAACCUUUCCCAGACAGGGGAAUAACACACCGAAAGGUGUACUAAUACCGCAUAAGACCACGGGAUCACAUGGUUCUGGGGUAAAAGAUUUAUCGGUUUGGGGUGGGCUCGCGUCCGAUUAGGUAGUUGGUGAGGUAACGGCCCACCAAGCCGACGAUCGGUAGCCGACCUGAGAGGGUGAUCAGCCACAUUGGGACUGAGACACGGCCCAAACUCCUACGGGAGGCAGCAGUGGGGAAUAUUGGGCAAUGGGGGGAACCCUGACCCAGCAACGCCGCGUGGAGGAAGAAGGUUUUCGGAUCGUAAACUCCUGUCCUUGGAGACGAGUAGAAGACGGUAUCCAAGGAGGAAGCCCCGGCUAACUACGUGCCAGCAGCCGCGGUAAUACGUAGGGGGCAAGCGUUGUCCGGAAUAAUUGGGCGUAAAGGGCGCGUAGGCGGCUCGGUAAGUCUGGAGUGAAAGUCCUGCUUUUAAGGUGGGAAUUGCUUUGGAUACUGUCGGGCUUGAGUGCAGGAGAGGUUAGUGGAAUUCCCAGUGUGGCGGUGAAAUGCGUAGAGAUUGGGAGGAACACCAGUGGCGAAGGCGACUAACUGGACUGUAACUGACGCUGAGGCGCGAAAGUGUGGGGAGCAAACAGGAUUAGAUACCCUGGUAGUCCACACUGUAAACGAUGAAUGCUAGGUGUAGGGG